rnacentral:rRNA from 1 species
GAUGAACGCUGGCGGCGUGCCUAAUACAUGCCAGUCGAGCGAACGGACGAGAAGCUUGCUUCUCUGAUGUUAGCGGCGGACGGGUGAGUAACACGUGGAUAACCUACCUAUAAGACUGGGAUAACUUCGGGAAACCGGAGCUAAUACCGGAUAAUAUUUUGAACCGCAUGGUUCAAAAGUGAAAGACGGUCUUGCUGUCACUUAUAGAUGGAUCCGCGCUGCAUUAGCUAGUUGGUAAGGUAACGGCUUACCAAGGCAACGAUGCAUAGCCGACCUGAGAGGGUGAUCGGCCACACUGGAACUGAGACACGGUCCAGACCCCUACGGGAGGCAGCAGUAGGGAAUCUUCCGCAAUGGGCGAAAGCCUGAAGGAGCAACGCCGCGUGAGUGAUGAAGGUCUUCGGAUCGUAAAACUCUGUUAUUAGGGAAGAACAUAUGUGUAAGUAACUGUGCACAUCUUGACGGUACCUAAUCAGAAAGCCACGGCUAACUACGUG